rnacentral:rRNA from 1 species
GACAGAUGGGAGCUUGCUCCCUGAUGUUAGCGGCGGACGGGUGAGUAACACGUGGGUAACCUGCCUGUAAGACUGGGAUAACUCCGGGAAACCGGGGCUAAUACCGGAUGGUUGUUUGAACCGCAUGGUUCAAACAUAAAAGGUGGCUUCGGCUACCACUUACAGAUGGACCCGCGGCGCAUUAGCUAGUUGGUGAGGUAACGGCUCACCAAGGCAACGAUGCGUAGCCGACCUGAGAGGGUGAUCGGCCACACUGGGACUGAGACACGGCCCAGACUCCUACGGGAGGCAGCAGUAGGGAAUCUUCCGCAAUGGACGAAAGUCUGACGGAGCAACGCCGCGUGAGUGAUGAAGGUUUUCGGAUCGUAAAGCUCUGUUGUUAGGGAAGAACAAGUACCGUUCGAAUAGGGCGGUACCUUGACGGUACCUAACCAGAAAGCCACGGCUAACUACGUGCCAGCAGCCGCGGUAAUACGUAGGUGGCAAGCGUUGUCCGGAAUUAUUGGGCGUAAAGGGCUCGCAGGCGGUUUCUUAAGUCUGAUGUGAAAGCCCCCGGCUCAACCGGGGAGGGUCAUUGGAAACUGGGGAACUUGAGUGCAGAAGAGGAGAGUGGAAUUCCACGUGGUAGCGGUGAAAUGCGUAGAGAUGUGGAGGAACACCAGUGGCGAAGGCGACUCUCUGGUCUGUAACUGACGCUGAGGAGCGAAAGCGUGGGGAGCGAACAGGAUUAGAUACCCUGGUAGUCCACGCCGUAAACGAUGAGUGCUAAGUGGUUAGGGGGUUUCCGCCCCUUAGUGCUGCAGCUAACGCAUUAAGCACUCCGCCUGGGGGAGUACGGUCG